rnacentral:rRNA from 1 species
GAUGAACGCUAGCGGGAGGCCUAACACAUGCAAGCCGAGCGGUAGAGUCUCUUCGGGGACUUGAGAGCGGCGUACGGGUGCGUAACACGUGUGCAACCUGCCUCUAUCUGGGGGAUAGCCUUCCGAAAGGGAGAUUAACACCCCAUAAUAUAAUGAUUGGCAUCAAUUAUUAUUGAAAACUCCGGUGGAUAGAGAUGGGCACGCGCAAGAUUAGAUAGUUGGUGGGGUAACGGCCCACCAAGUCGAUGAUCUUUAGGGGUCCUGAGAGGGAGAUCCCCCACACUGGUACUGAGACACGGACCAGACUCCUACGGGAGGCAGCAGUGAGGAAUAUUGGACAAUGGGUGGAAGCCUGAUCCAGCCAUCCCGCGUGAAGGACGACGGCCCUAUGGGUUGUAAACUGCUUUUGGACGGAACGAAAAGCCACUUUCUAAUACAAGGUGGUCAUGGCGGUACCGUCAGAAUAAGCACCGGCUAACUACGUG